rnacentral:tRNA from 1 species
GUCAGGAUAGCUCAGCUGGUAGAGAGAGGACU